GUGCCAGCAGCCGCGGUAAUACGGAGGGUGCGAGCGUUAAUCGGAAUUACUGGGCGUAAAGGGCGCGUAGGCGGUCGCGCAAGUCGGGUGUGAAAGCCCCGGGCUCAACCUGGGAAUUGCAUUCGAUACUGCGUAACUAGAGUCUGGUAGAGGGAAGCGGAAUUCCGCAUGUAGCGGUGAAAUGCGUAGAUAUGCGGAGGAACACCAGUGGCGAAGGCGGCUUCCUGGACCAAGACUGACGCUGAGGCGCGAAAGCGUGGGGAGCAAACAGGAUUAGAUACCCCGGUAGUCCACGCCCUAAACGAUGAGGACUAGACGUUGGGGGGAUAAAACCCUUUAGUGUCGCAGCUAACGCGUGAAGUCCUCCGCCUGGGGAGUACGGCCGCAAGGUUGAAACUCAAAGGAAUUGGCGG
rnacentral:rRNA from 1 species